UGGUGGAUGUAUAUAGUGGCUAACCUAAUUCUACUUUGCUCCUUGAAAACUUAUCUCUCUUUUGUAAUUUGUAAACAUUUGCUAGAGAACAGGGGCUAUCUUAUUCAUCUAUUUCUUUUUUUUCAGGUGGGCAUCUAAGUACCCAUUGUUUUAGAUAUCUUGGACACUUGUCCAUUUUUAACUCUAUUUUUUCUUGUAUUUUAUGAAUAACUUGCAAAGCCCCUUUUCUGCAACAAAAUUUUUAGAGAGAUGGUAACAAGAACUUGGACCAUUUAUUUGGUGGUGAAAAACCUAUCUAAUAUAUUUUUGCUGUUCACUCUCAGUGUAGGAGUAGAACAUUUUUGGGUGGAUCUAAAUGGAAAGCAUGUUUUUGCA
rnacentral:lncRNA from 1 species